rnacentral:rRNA from 1 species
UACCCGAAUAAGAAGGUCCGGCUAACUUCGUGCCAGCAGCCGCGGUAAUACGAAGGGACCUAGCGUAGUUCGGAAUUACUGGGCUUAAAGAGUUCGUAGGUGGUUAAAAAAGUUGGUUGUGAAAUCCCGAAGCUUAACUUCGGAACUGCAAUCAAAACUUUUUAGCUAGAGUAUGAUAGAGGAAAGCAGAAUUUCUAGUGUAGAGGUGAAAUUCGUAGAUAUUAGAAAGAAUACCAAUUGCGAAGGCAGCUUUCUGGAUCAUUACUGACGCUGAGGAACGAAAGCAUGGGUAGCGAAGAGGAUUAGAUACCCUCGUAGUCCAUGCCGUAAACGAUGUGUGUUAGACGUUGGAAAUUUAUUUUCAGUGUCGCAGCGAAAGCAGUAAACACACCGCCUGGGGAGUACGACCGCAAGGUUAAAACUCAAAUGAAUUGACGGGGACCCGCACAAGUAGUGGAGCAUGUGGUUUAAUUCGAAGAUACGCGCAGAACCUUACCAACACUUGACAUGUUCGUCGCGGCUCUAAGAGAUUAGAGCUUUCGGUUCGGCCGGACGAAACACAGGUGCUGCAUGGCUGUCGUCAGCUCGUGUCGUGAGAUGUUGGGUUAAGUCCCGCAACGAGCGCAACCCUCACUUUUAGUUGCCAUCAUUUAGUUGGGCACUCUGAAAGAACUGCCAGUGAUAAGCUGGAGGAAGGUGGGGAUGACGUCAAGUCCUCAUGGCCCUUACGUGUUGGGCUACACACGUGCUACAAUGGCAUUUACAAUAGGAAGCAAGAUGGCGACGUCAAGCA